rnacentral:rRNA from 1 species
AACGAACGCUGGCGGCAGGCCUAACACAUGCAAGUCGAGCGAGGUAGCAAUACCUAGCGGCGGACGGGUGAGUAACGCGUGGGAACGUGCCCUUUGCUACGGAAUAGCCCUGGGAAACCGGGAGUAAUACCGUAUGUGCCCUUCGGGGGAAAGAUUUAUCGGCAAAGGAUCGGCCCGCGUUGGAUUAGGUAGUUGGUGGGGUAAUGGCCUACCAAGCCGACGAUCCAUAGCUGGUUUGAGAGGAUGAUCAGCCACACUGGGACUGAGACACGGCCCAGACUCCUACGGGAGGCAGCAGUGGGGAAUCUUAGACAAUGGGCGCAAGCCUGAUCUAGCCAUGCCGCGUGAGCGAUGAAGGCCUUAGGGUUGUAAAGCUCUUUCGUGGGGGAAGAUAAUGACUGUACCCCAAGAAGAAGCCCCGGCUAACUCCGUGCCAGCAGCCGCCGCCGUAA